ACCGACGUUCAGAAGAAUCCAUUCAACAUGGCGGAGACUCGCAAGCGACCGGAGCAAACUUAAUGGAACAACUUGCUGAGCUGGAUGCUGAAUACAAAAGAGUGAGCCUCAACACUUAAGGUUUGUGCUG